rnacentral:rRNA from 1 species
UCUAUGGAGAGUUUGAUUCUGGCUCAGGACGAACGCUGGCGGCGUGCUUAACACAUGCAAGUCGAGCGAUGAAGCACCUUCGGGUGUGGAUUAGCGGCGAACGGGUGAGGAACACGUGAGGAAUCUGCCUUCCACUCUGGGAUAACUCCGGGAAACCGGGGCUAAUACCGGAUACUUUCAACUGGCGGCAUCGCCGGUUGAAGAAAGUUUUUCGGUGGAAGAUGACCUCGCGGCCUAUCAGCUUGUUGGUGAGGUAAAGGCUCACCAAGGCGACGACGGGUAGCCGGCCUGAGAGGGCGACCGGCCACACUGGGACUGAGACACGGCCCAGACUCCUACGGGAGGCAGCAGUGGGGAAUAUUGGGCAAUGG